ACUAAUUCAUGGCUUUCUUUGAGAGGCAUCCCUGGAAAACGUGUCUAAAGGGUGGUAUUUCUAUCACAGGCUAUCCCAUUUGCAGAGAAGAAAAGGAUUACCUUUGAAGUGUAAAGAUCAAAAGCUAUUUUUGCAGGAAUACAGCAGUAAACAAACCAACAAAAGGUUAUUUGGGUCACAGUUGUUGUAACCCUCCUGCAUUUAAGGAUCACCUUUGAGCUAGCCUUCCAGAAUCUUGAAGAGCCUUGCAAAAAGAAAGACUUCAAAACAAAUCAGUUUUUUAAUAAGGUAGUCAUGGGUGAUUUGACUUGUGGAAAAUGACGGCAAACAACAUGUGGCCUUCCAGCAGCUGAAUGGGAAGGCAGAUGUGCCUCAACAAUGGCUGAGUCAAGCUGUUGUUCUGUGAGAGAAAUAUAUUGGCAUCUACUGGGGGUGGGGGAGAGAAGGAGACAGUUCCCUUCACCCCAAUGAACUAUAUUAUCUGGAUUCCCAACUUUAUUU